GCUCGGGCAGAGAAAAACUUGAGUGCACGUUCGUUGGAAGUGUGCAGGGGCUGCUGGGCGCUCACCUUGUCCCUGAGAAGGUUGGCUGGAAUCCCUGUGUCAGAUGCAGGGGCGAUGUGGGGACUCCGGCAAGCGAGGACGGGAGGUCGGGAGGCGGGGAUGAGGCCAGGCCUUAGCGCGAAGGAGGGCGGCACUCGUGGUCAUCGUAACUGACCAGAAGCGACCGACAACGGAGCUCCAUGGGGCGGCUCCGCGUUCAUCUCCCUGGUAAAAGAGGACAGAGAGAGAGAGAGCUUGAGGGGAUCUAGGGAAGGAGAGAGCACGAGAGGGAGAUGGAGAGGAAGGAGAGGGACGACGAGGUCCCUGCCUGGCGGCGGUCACCGGUGAGGUCACGCUGGAGGCCGAAGUAGCAGGGUGUAGCGGGAGCUGCUGCUGGUUUAUUGCUCCGGCGAGCGGCGGCUGGUUAUCGGAGCGGCCGAACGCGAAGGGCGGGGAUGACGCGGGGUUCCACGAAGCUCGGGCAUGAGAGGAGCUCCUCCGUCCGCUCUUGAUUCCUCUGGAUCGAAACAUGGGAGGACGACGCGGGCACAAGGGCUUUCUGUGUGUGGCCGUACGCGGAUGGGACACGGGAGGAUCCC
rnacentral:lncRNA from 1 species